rnacentral:sRNA from 1 species
AGGCAGGCAGGAAGGCCGUCAACGUGCCUGUGACGUCAGAACCACGCUGCCCCACCCCCACACACCAGCUCGCUCACCCACCAGACUAGACAAACCUAUUAUCCCACUGUGCUUCAGCAAAGCCCACCUAGGCUCCCAGGCACAGAGUGUUUCAAGGCUGACCUGACAUGGAAGUGGAAAGAAUUAUUGGGGGAUGGGAGACAUGUGGAAGGAAGGUGGCAGUAGGAAGACAGCCAUACGGAGGAGUUAACUCCAGGACGUAAGGUGCCCAGAGGCCCGUAGGACCCUUGGAAAUAGAGCUCACCUCAGGCAUGCACCAGGAGCAAGGAGGCUGCGAUGGCGAACCUCCAGCUCCCAUUGGUUGUUCUGGGACAGUCUGUAGUUGGAAGAGUGACGGUGUGCAAACUGAACCGUGUGUGUUGGAAAAUAUGAGUGUCUGGGAUCCAAACAGAACACAGACUCUGCAGUCCCUCAUUCGCCUGAGGUAUCCAACAGUCCCGGUGGCGAAGACCGAUAUUGCCGCGAGUGUGCUACCUCCAAGUCAAUGGUGAUGCUAUCUCAUUACUCCUCGCACAAACCCAAGUGGGCUAGAAACCCCCCUGCGCACCGCCCCCAGCUCACAGGAGGAAAACAGACUCUAGGAGUUAGUUGGAGGGAAUACAGAUCGUACCACACCACCACCUCGGUGGAAGCACAACUCUUGUAAGAGGUCUGCAGCCCUGAACUCAGGAAGAAGGAAUGAGGUACAGGGGUAAGAGGUGAGGUUACAGGGGCAGGGGCAGGGGCAGGGGCAGGGGCAGGGGCAGGCAGGGCCUGCCUUGCAGGUCCACAGGCGAGUGUGAGCAUUUGAGUUAUCACAAGGCUAGUAAGGGAGUGGCAAGGCACCACCCAAUUGAGUCACUGAGACUUUGUAGAGAACAGAAUAAGGAAAAUGAACCCUUAGGUGCCACUUUCUCCGCACCUACUGUUUGCUAGGCACAAUGGUAAGCACAAAGCAUGACUGAACUAACUCGCGUCCCCGAAAGCCCCUACACAGUCACCACCCUACAACCUCAGCGACUGGGCCCAGCUUCCAAAUAAACUCUGAGCCGAGGAGGAAAAACUUUGGCCCAGGAGGCUAUUCCUGUAAUCAAGCGUCUGGGAAGAUUAGAUAGAGAAGGUUAGAGAGUACUAGGUCAAUCUGGACUAUACAGCGAGACCUUAUUUCAAAAAAACAAACAAACAAACAAAAAAA